AAUCAACGCUGGCGGCGCGCUUAACACAUGCAAGUCGAACGAGAAAGGUGGAGCAAUCUACUGAGUACAGUGGCGCACGGGUGAGUAACACGUGGGUAAUCCGCCCUUUGGUGGGAAUAACCCUGGGAACUGGGAAUAAUACCGCAUAAGUCCGCAAGGAGAAAGUACGCAAGACGCCGAAGGAGGAGCCCGCGGCCGAUUAGCUAGUUGGUAGGGUAAUGGCCUACCAAGGCANCGAUCGGUAGCCGGCCUGAGAGGGCACACGGCCACACUGGCACUGAGACACGGGCCAGACUCCUACGGGAGGCAGCAGUGGGGAAUCUUGCACAAUGGGGGAAACCCUGAUGCAGCGACGCCGCGUGAGCGAUGAAGCCCUUCGGGUGUAAGCUCCUCGGCAGGAACGAUAAUGACGGUACCUGCAGAAGAAGCUGCGGCUAACUACGUGCAGCAGCCG
rnacentral:rRNA from 1 species